rnacentral:rRNA from 1 species
UACGGAGGGAGCUAGCGUUGUUCGGAAUUACUGGGCGUAAAGCGCACGUAGGCGGCUUUUUAAGUCAGGGGUGAAAUCCCGGGGCUCAACCCCGGAACUGCCCUUGAAACUGGAGAGCUAGAAUCUUGGAGAGGCGAGUGGAAUUCCGAGUGUAGAGGUGAAAUUCGUAGAUAUUCGGAAGAACACCAGUGGCGAAGGCGGCUCACUGGCCCGUUACCGACGCUCAGGCGCGACAGCGUGGGGAGCAAACAGG